rnacentral:rRNA from 1 species
GCCAGACUCCUACGGGAGGCAGCAGUGGGGAAUAUUGCACAAUGGGGGAAACCCUGAUGCAGCGACGCCGCGUGAGCGAAGAAGUAUUUCGGUAUGUAAAGCUCUCUCAGCAGGGAAGAAAAAAAUGACGGUACCUGAGUAAGAAGCACCGGCUAAAUACGUGCCAGCAGCCGCGGUAAUACGUAUGGUGCAAGCGUUAUCCGGAUUUACUGGGUGUAAAGGGAGCGUAGGCGGCGCGUUAAGUCUGAUGUGAAAGCCCGAGGCUCAACCACGGGAGUGCAUUGGAAACUGGCGGGCUGGAGUGCCGGAGAGGUAAGCGGAAUUCCUAGUGUAGCGGUGAAAUGCGUAGAUAUUAGGAGGAACACCAGUGGCGAAGGCGGCUUACUGGACGGCAACUGACGCUGAGGCUCGAAAGCGUGGGGAGCAAACAGGAUUAGAUACCCUAGUA